CAUGCGUCACCUUUAUGCAGCGUCAACAGAGAGCCGUACAGCGUGCUUCCGUAAAGGCACACAGAGAAUAACGUAAAGGAAAAACCACACAUUAAAACAGAAGUCCACACUUCAGCUGUGAGAUUAUGACAGAAUCCAGAUAAAGUCAAGCUUGAAAUGAAAUUCUCCCAGGGAGCUUCAAAGCAUCAAAAUUGGAGGGUGAAAAGUUUCUAAAUCACAGGAACUAGCCAGAACGUGUUCUGUUCAUGACUGAUACCCACAAAGUUCAGCUGAUCUUCCAUGGAACUAAUAUGAUUCAUUUUCCAGAAGAAGCAAUGAAGGCAGACAUACAUGUGACUCCAUCAGCCAAGCCUGUUCACAUGGCAGGGGACAGCACUAAGGCACAGGUUUUAGUGAUUAAGACAUUUGGAACUGGUAAUACAUUUCUCCAUAAUUCUUGCUCCUGAAGGACUUUGGACAACCUUUUGGCCUUCCUCCCUUGGAUAAGCAGAACCAUGCAAGAAUAACAUGAACAUGAGAACCUGCGUAGCACAGACUGCCUCAGUCUGAACUCUCUGGACUUCAAAAGCCUCACACUGCACAACAACCGCAGGACAGACAGACGGGAAAUGGUACUGGGCACAGUGGCUGCUGGUGUGAGGUUGCUCUCCUGCCCCCUCAGCAGUUUUUUUUCCAGCCUUCCUCUGAUUCAUCAGAAAAAAAGUCACAGAACAGUUGAGGUUGGAAGGAACCACUUGGGAUCAUCUAGUCUACGUUGAUAAGAUCCCCUCUCAGUCUUCUCAAGGCUGAACAGGCGCAACUCUCUCAGUCUCUCUUCAUAGCACAGAUGCUGCAGGCCCUUAAUCAUCUUUGUAGCCCUUUGCUGGGCUCACUCUAGGAGCUCCAUGUUAUUCUUGUACUGGAGAGCCCGGAACUGAGCAUAGUACUCUGGAUACAGCCUCAAGAGGGCAGAGUACAGGAGGGGGAUCACCUCCCUCAACCUGUUAGCCACACUUUUCCGAAUGUACCCCAAAAUACUGCUGGCCUUCUUAGCCACAGGGGCACACUACUGGCUCACAGCCAACCUGUUACCACUAGGCACUGGUCCUAGGAAGGAACAAAACUGCUUCUGACAAGUUCUUAACAAUACCAGACAAAGUACUGCUAGAAAUGUCAAUAUAGGACAAAAAACAUCAUAAAUAACAUAAUAACAUAAUCAUAAAAUAAUAAUAUAAUAAUAACAUAAUCAUAAAACAUCAUAUAUAGGACAAAAUUAACCCACCCAACUAGCAACAAGGGUCUCUAACUAUAGAACUGUCCUUCUCAAGAAGUGGCCUUCAGCCAGGGGACAUUCUCCUUUCAGAGGCUAGCCCUUAAACGAGCCCAGGGUCCACCCUUUCCAGUCAUGUGAGAAGCACAGGUGAACUGCUUGCACUUCUGCUUCCUGGGCCAGCCACCCCUUCACCAAGUGCUCAAUCACCAGUUCAGGCUAUGACAUAACAGUUCCCCUACAACAGGACACCCAGGUCCUUCUCUGCAGAGCUCCUCUCCAGCAUGUCAGCUCCUAACCUAUACUGAUGCAUGCAGUUAUUCCUCCCCAGGUGCAAGACUCUACACUUGCUCUUUUGGGACUUCAUGAUGUUUUCUGCCCAACUCUCAGCCUGUCCAGGUCUCUCUGAAUGAUAGCACAGUCCUCCAGUGUAUCUGCCACUCCACCCAAAUUGGUAUCAUCAACAAACUUGCUGAGGGUGCACUCUGUGCCAUCACCACCAGCCACACAUAUCUUCAUGCACUGUUCUGCUCUGUGGCACUGCUUAGCUUCUUCCAGAGAAGUAGGAAUUCCUGAAUAUCAUUAUUUUUUUCUUUCUUUUCUAAUCAGAUACACCUUGCUUUGCAAAGGCUACUGUAAAAAUAUUUCACUUCUCAGCAUCAAAGUCAGCAAGUGUUGGCAGAUUUGUAACACGUCACAGUGGUGUGUGGUAUUUCCCAAGGACAGCAAGCACCUGAAUCACCUGAAUGGGGACAGGCCUCACAGCACAGAUGAUGCACACUGGCUGAACGGCACAGCACAGGGCUUCUUCCAAACAAAGUUGAAGGAAAAGACACUGCAAACAGGGUGUCACUGGUUUGAGUUUUCUCACUCCUUUCUCUCAGUUGCGGCUCAUCAUAAUCAUUGUUUGCUCAUUUCUCAUGAAAAGAAAAUAGCAUUUUGUUCAGUUUCAGUAAGUUCUACAAAAUUUUUGUCCUCAUUUGGAUACGUCCAUCUAUAAAGGCUGCUCUAAAAGUAAUGCCUCCUAUUUUAUUAUGAGGCGAAUGUUGGUGGGAUGGCAGUCGAGGUUGAACUCUCCCAUCAGUAUUCCAUUACAUUUUGCUACUGUGUGACACACAGCAGCAAAGGGGCAAUCUGACAUGGAAAUGUGUACGUUGCAAAGAUGUGGAACUGAAUUCCUCCAUGUGGAAAAAAUGGCACCCACUGACAUUCACUGUGUUUCAUCACCCACUGAGUGGGUGGCAACAGUGGCAACAGCAACAAUGGGUCACCUCUGCUGGUGCAGACUUUUACAAGUGGGAUAUGCAGGCUCUUGUUCAUAGCUGGUGAAAAUGCAUAGCUAGCAGUAGUGG